rnacentral:rRNA from 1 species
ACUAGCAGUAAGAGUUUGAUCAUGGCUCAGAGCGAACGCUGGCGGCAGGCCUAAUACAUGCAAGUCGAACGCACCUUCGGGUGAGUGGCGGACGGGUGAGUAACGCGUGGGAACGUGCCCUUUGGUUCGGAACAACACAGGGAAACUUGUGCUAAUACCGAAUGUGCCCUUCGGGGGAAAGAUUUAUCGCCAUUGGAGCGGCCCGCGUUGGAUUAGCUAGUUGGUGGGGUAAAGGCCCACCAAGGCGACGAUCCAUAGCUGGUCUGAGAGGAUGAUCAGCCACACUGGGACUGAGACACGGCCCAGACUCCUACGGGAGGCAGCAGUAGGGAAUCUUGCGCAAUGGGCGAAAGCCUGACGCAGCCAUGCCGCGUGAAUGAUGAAGGUCUUAGGAUUGUAAAAUUCUUUCACCAGGGAAGAUAAUGACGGUACCCGGAGAAGAAGCCCCGGCUAACUUCGUGCCAGCAGCCGCGGUAAUAC